rnacentral:rRNA from 1 species
GACGAACGCUGGCGGCGUGCUUAACACAUGCAAGUCGAACGAUGACGACCGAGCUUGCUCGGUCUGAUUAGUGGCGAACGGGUGAGUAAAACGUGAGCAACCUGCCCUUCACUCUGGGUUAACCUCGGGAAAUCGGGGCUAAUACAGGAUAUGAGCUCCUGUGGCAUGGCGGGUGUUGGAAAGUUUUUCGGUGAAGGAUGGGCGCGCUGCCUAUCAGUUUGUUGGUGAGGUAGUGGCUCACAAAGGCGAUGACGGGUAGCCGGCCUGAGAGGGCGACCGGCCACACUGGGACUGAGACACGGCCCAGACUCCUACGGGAGGCAGCAGUGGGGAAUAUUGCACAAUGGGCGAAAGCCUGAUGCAGCGACGCCGCGUGAGGGAUGACGGCCUUCGGGUUGUAAACCUCUUUCAGCAGGGAAGAAGCGAAAGUGACGGUACCUGCAGAAGAAGCGCGGGCUAACUACGUG